AUUGAACGCUAGCGGCAGGCCUAACACAUGCAAGUCGAGCGAGCGGCGGACGGGUGAGUAAUGUCUGGGAAACUGCCUGAUGGAGGGGGAUAACUACUGGAAACGGUAGCUAAUACCGCAUACCAUCAGAUGUGCCCAGAUGGGAUGAGCUAGGAGGUGGGGGAACGGCUCACCUAGGCGACGAUCCCCAGCUGGUCUGAGAGGAUGACCAGCCACACGGGAACUGUGACGCGCUCCAGACUCCUACGGGAGGCAGCGGUGGGGAAUAUUGCACUAUGGGCGCAAGCCUGAUGCAGCCAUGCCGCGUGUAUGAAGAAGGCCUUAGGGUUGUAAGGUACGUUCAGCGGGGAGGCGUUACCCACAGAAGAAGCACCGGCUAACUCCGUGCCAGCAGCCGCGGUAAUAC
rnacentral:rRNA from 1 species